rnacentral:rRNA from 1 species
AAAUAUGCAACUAAUUUUUAUAAAGAUUUAUUUGGCCAUGUAGAUUUACCUCCUAUAUCUCUGUGUAUCCCUCUUGAUGAUGUGUUGUCAGAAGAGGAUAAGGUUGAGCUCAGUUGCAAAUUGACUAUGGAUGAAGUUAAAAAUGCGUUAUUUUCUAUGAAGCGCAACAGUGCGGCUGGCCCGGACGGCUUUCCUGCCGAGUUCUUUCAAUUUUUCUGGAACCUCAUUUGUAACGAUCUCCUUAGGCUUUUUCAUGACUUUUAUGAGGGCAAGAUUAACAUUUCAAGGCUUAACUAUGGGGUAGUCACUUUGCUUGCUAAGGGGCAGGGGGCUGAUAGGAUUCAAAUGUACCGCCCCAUCUGUAUGCUGAACGUACCUUUUAAAUUUUUUACAAAAGUUCUUAACAAUAGAGCUAUGAAAAUUGCAGAUAAAACUAUUUCCAAAGCUCAAUCUGCGUUUAUAAAGGGGCGCUACAUCCUGGACAAUGUACUUAUGCUUCAUGAAGCUAUCCACUCUUUACAUAGAAAUAAAUGUUCUGCUGUGCUUUUUAAGGUUGAUUUCAAAAAAGCUUACGAUAAAAUUAAUUGGAGUUUCAUGCUUGAUGUCCUAAAGAUGAAAGGCUUCCCUGAACGUUUUGUCCAAUGGACAAAAGAUGUCGUUAGUAAUGGAAAGGUUGCCAUCACUAUUAAUGAUGUUAUCGGCCCGUAUUUUGUUACUAGGAAGGGUUUGAGGCAAGGGGACCCGUUUUCCCCCUUGCUUUUCAAUUUGGCAGCUGAUGUUCUUGCUACCCUGGUGCAAAGGGCGCAAGAACAAGGAUUUAUCAAGGGAGUGUUGCCUAGGGUGUAUGCAGGAGGUCUAAAUAUUUUGCAAUAUGCGGACGAUACUAUUUUCUGUUUUGAAGAUGACCUUGAGGGGGCUAGGAACCUCAAAAUUAUUCUAUGUGUUUUUGAGCAUUUGACCGGUCUGAAGAUUAAUUUUUUAAAGAGUGAA